rnacentral:antisense_RNA from 1 species
AAUAACCAAAUAUGAUACUCGGGCUAAGGGUCAAGUUGGUAAUUAUUCUUACAUCUCCCCCUCCCGAAGCCCAGGUAUCAUAUACAGCCCCAAAAUAAAAAGCCUUGAAUACUAGAAGAAAGCACCUAGACCUAACAAGAUUAAGUGAAUACCUAAAAUUGUAGUCAUUCUAUUUCGAUUUUAUCA